rnacentral:tRNA from 1 species
AAGAAAGUAAUUUAAGCUAAAAUAUUUUGUUUCAAACAUAACGAUAGGUAAUCUUACCUCUUUCUUG